AUUUUCUAUAAUUAAUGACUUUUAGUUUGGUUUGAAGACGACACCUCAACAAAUAUUGAAAAAUUAGUUACAAGCAAAUAGCGAGCAACAACCUGGAUACUUGCAUAGCAAACGGAAAAAUGUAUCGUGCUGUCAUUGUUGACAAGUGCGUUUGGGUUCUUUGAAACAAAUUAAUGAAACAUUUAUUAAUUUCAACAAUUUCAUUAUAAAUUUUUUUUUCAAUUAUUUUGCUUGAACUUUCUGUGAAAUAAUUGCUGCCGUUUGUAUUGAUAUUUUCAUUUCAUAUCCGUUUCCUAUCUCUGAUAUAUUCAUUGUGUGAGCAGGUAUACAAAGGAGGAAUUUGUACACAGUUGGAAAAUUUCAAAACUACUUUUUCAAUAGCCUGAAAACAAAUUUUACCCAUAUGAACCAAAUUCCAUUGUUUUUAUUAUUUACAAAAACUAGUCUAAAUUUCUUUUUUUUUCAUCUUUUUUUACUCGUAUUAAUUAUAGGACACGUAACGUAUACUUACUAUUGAAUUGAUGUUUAACAUAAUAUUAAGUAUACGCCACCCACUACUUUUCACAACACAUGUUGUUCACAAUAAUUGUGUAGCAUACCUUUUGGCGUUAAUUUUAAAUCCACAACAUACGUAUGAUUAAUAUGGAAUUAAUGGUUAAUUAAAUAUUAAGUAUGCGUUUAGUAGAAUUUUCUUUUAAAAAUUACAUUAUUCACC